UCUGACCUCAAAUCAGGUAGGACUACCCGCUGAACUUAAGCAUAUCAAUAAGCGGAGGAAAAGAAACUAACAAGGAUUCCCCUAGUAACUGCGAGUGAAGCGGGAAAAGCUCAAAUUUAAAAUCUGGCAGCUUUGGUUGUCCGAGUUGUAGUCUGGAGAAGCGUUUUCUGUGCUGGACCGUGUACAAGUCUCUUGGAACAGAGCGUCGUAAAGGGUGAGAAUCCCGUCUUUGACACGGACUGCCAGUGCUUUGUGAUGCGCUCUCAAAGAGUCGAGUUGUUUGGGAAUGCAGCUCAAAAUGGGUGGUAAAUUCCAUCUAAAGCUAAAUAUUGGCGAGAGACCGAUAGCGAACAAGUACCGUGAGGGAAAGAUGAAAAGCACUUUGGAAAGAGAGUUAAACAGUACGUGAAAUUGCUGAAAGGGAAACGCUUGAAGUCAGUCGCGUUGGCCAGAACUCAGCCUGGCUUUUGCCUGGUGCAUUUUCUGGUUGACGGGCCAGCAUCAAUUUUGACCGCUGGAUAAAGGCCUUGGGAAUGUGGCACCUUCGGGUGUGUUAUAGCCCUUGGUUGUAUACAGUGGUUGGGAUUGAGGAUCUCAGCAUGCCUUUAUGGUCGGGGUUCGCCCACGUUCAUGCUUAGGAUGCUGGCGUAAUGGCUUUAAACGACCCGUCUUGAAACACGGACCAAGGAGUCUAACAUGCCUGCGAGUGUUUGGGUGGAAAACCCGAGCGCGUAAUGAAAGUGAAAGUUGGGAUCCCUGUCGUGGGGAGCACCGACGCCCGGACCAGACCUUCUGUGACGGCUCCGCGGUAGAGCAUGUAUGUUGGGACCCGAAAGAUGGUGAACUAUGCCUGAAUAGGGUGAAGCCAGAGGAAACUCUGGUGGAGGCUCGUAGCGAUUCUGACGUGCAAAUCGAUCGUCAAAUUUGGGUAUAGGGGCGAAAGACUAAUCGAACCAUCUAGUAGCUGGUUCCUGCCGAAGUUUCCCUCAGGAUAGCAGAAACUCAUGUCAGAUUUAUGUGGUAAAGCGAAUGAUUAGAGGCCUUGGGGUUGAAACAACCUUAACCUAUUCUCAAACUUUAAAUAUGUAAGA
rnacentral:rRNA from 1 species